GAUGAACGCUGGCGGCGUGCCUAAUACAUGCAAGUCGAGCGAACGGACGAGAAGCUUGCUUCUCUGAUGUUAGCGGCGGACGGGUGAGUAACACGUGGAUAACCUACCUAUAAGACUGGGAUCACUUCGGGAAACCGGAUCCAAUACCGGAUAAUAUUUUGAAACGCAUGGUUCAAAAGUGAAAGACGGUCUUGCUGUCACUUAUAGAUGGUUCCGCGCUGCAUUAGCUAGUUGGUAAGGUAACGGCUUACCAAGGCAACGAUGCAUAGCUGACCUGAGAGGAUGAUCGGUCACACUGGAACUGAGACACGGUCCAGACUCCUACGGGAGGCAGCAGUAGGGAAUCUUCCGCAAUGGGCGAAAGCCUGACGGAGCAACGCCGCGUGAGUGAAGAAGGUCUUCGGAUCGUAAAACUCUGUUAGUAGGGAAGAACAGAUGUGUAAGUAACUGUGCACAUCUUGACGUUACCUAAUCAGAAAGCCACGGCUAACUACGUG
rnacentral:rRNA from 1 species